CGCCUGCCAACACACCUGGCUAAUUUUUUGUAUUUUUAGUAGAGACAGGGUUUCACCAUGUUAGCCAGGAUGGUCUCGAUCUCCUGACCUUGUGAUCCACCCACCUUGGCCUCCCAAAGUGCUGGGAUUAUAGACGUGAGCUACCACACCCAGCUGAGAAUGAACUUCCUCCAUGUUUGUAGAAGUCUUUGUGUUAAGAGAUCUGAAGAGAUGAUGAUUACUUCUUGUUUUUCAUCUUCCUUUGUUAAAGAUGAUGUAGGAAGAAGUCCUUUGAAUUCAUUUUAACUUUAGCUCUCCUGUUUUCUCAGUAUGAGAAGCAGUUUCUUAGAGGUUCCUUCAUUUAGUUUGAUGACAUCACAUCAAAACUCAUUGAAUAAAAAGGAAUUUUUUUUGGACGGUGACUUAAAUGCAGACAGCUCUUUCCAGAUUUGGUUGAAUAUGGGUGAAUUUUAGAGUAUUUAGUUAAGUGCUGUCCAAGGUCAGGUGUGGGCCAGAGAGGGUGUAGAGGCACUUCAGAAGAUAUGCAAGGAAAUCCCCUGGGUGGGGAAGUUUUGCUAAUAACCUGUAAGAAGAUGACUUGUUUUGUACAAUUCUGGUUUAUUCUGAGAUUGGAGUGGAAAUUUUUCCUAAUUGAUUAGUUUAUUUCCAGUGUAUUUCAACGUGUUGCAGUUCACAUGUCCCUAGCUAAGUGGACUUAAAGUAAAGGGAUUUUUGAAAAUAAAUUGGAUUAAAUAUAGUACUAAUAAUGUCAGCACAUAGGAACAACAAGAAAAUUGCAAAGCUAAUGGUUUGUCUUUAAUAUGAACUCUUGGUCAGCCAUGUAAUGAGGUAAAAAUAGUCCGAAAAGAAGUUGAGCCAAAAAAAAAACCUAAAUUACUUCACUAAUACACAGUAUAUUCAUGUAACACAACUGCACUUGUACCUCUAAUUUUAUAAAACUAAAAAAUUUUAAAGAGUUAAAAAAGUCUGUUAUUAAAAAACUAUUUGAAACUUGGAUUUACAUUUGUUAUAUUUCAUGAAUCUUAUUGAAAGUUUAUAUAAUGCCCAGAACAUAAUUAUUAAUACUGUUCUUUAAAUGGAGCAAAAUGGUUUUUGAACCAUUAUCAAAGUAAAACAAAUUUUAAAAAUAUUACUUAAUUUUCAGCUGAUUAAUUUAAAAUUCUGUUUGAUCUGUUUUAUAAUGUAAUUAUAUAUUACCGCAGUAGGUGCAUAUGUAAUAUACAUGUGUGUAUAUACGUAUGUAUAUAUGAAUGAUAUAUGUUCAAAAAUGUUUUAUCAAUAAGUAUAUACAAUAAAAAUAUUUAGAGACCAC
rnacentral:lncRNA from 1 species